AGGACGCUGGCGGCAGGCCUAACACAUGCAAGUCGAACGGCAGCACAGUGGUAGCAAUACCAUGGGUGGCGAGUGGCGGACGGGUGAGGAAUACAUCGGAAUCUACCUUUUCGUGGGGGAUAACGUAGGGAAACUUACGCUAAUACCGCAUACGACCUUAGGGUGAAAGCGGAGGACCUUCGGGCUUCGCGCGGAUAGAUGAGCCGAUGUCGGAUUAGCUAGUUGGCGGGGUAAAGGCCCACCAAGGCAACGAUCCGUAGCUGGUCUGAGAGGAUGAUCAGCCACACUGGAACUGAGACACGGUCCAGACUCCUACGGGAGGCAGCAGUGGGGAAUAUUGGACAAUGGGCGCAAGCCUGAUCCAGCCAUGCCGCGUGGGUGAAGAAGGCCUUCGGGUUGUAAAGCCCUUUUGUUGGGAAAGAAAAGCA
rnacentral:rRNA from 1 species